GUGUACAAGGCCCGGGAACGCAUUCACCGCGGCAUGCUGAUCCGCGAUUACUAGCAACUCCGACUUCGUGCAGGCGGGUUUCAUCCUGCAGUCCGAACUGGGACCGGUUUUCGAGAUUGGCUCCGCCUCUNNNNUUCGCGACUUUCUGUACCGGCCAUUGUAGCACGUGUGUAGCCCAGAACAUAAGGGGCAUGAUGAUUUGACGUCAUCCCCACCUUCCUCCGAGUUGUCCCCGGCGGUCCCAUUAGAGUGCCCAUCUUACUGCUGGCAACUAAUGGCAAGGGUUGCGCUCGUUGCGGGACUUAACCCAACAUCUCACGACACGAUCUGACGACAACCAUGCACCACCUGUCUCCUCUGUCCGUAUAAGGAACCGGUUAA
rnacentral:rRNA from 1 species